CUCAGUGGUUGUUAGUCACUGACCACUAAGCCAAGUGAUUGGCUGCAACGUCCACGGAGACGUCAUCAGGAAAGCAAUGAAAGAGUGUCAUGCAGGGAAGUAAAUAAAAGCAGUGGUGAUACUAAAGUGGUGUUGGUUCUCAUCCAAAGCCGCACACACAGUUAAAGCAAAUAUGGAAAAUACUUGGAAUACUACAGUGGAACAGUUCCUGCUAAGUGCUGAGCAAUGUGUUAGUAAUUUGGGAAAACCCUUCCUUGUGUCUUUCAUGAGAUCACUAGACAACAAUAUUAGCAAUAUUUCAUCCAGCCCACAUGUCGUCGAAAAAGUGGAUGUUUUAGGUACAAGAUGUGAAAUCUC